rnacentral:rRNA from 1 species
GUCCACGCCGUAAACGAUGGAUACUAGGUGUAGGGUCAAAGGCCUCUGUGCCGGAGCAAACGCAUUAAGUAUCCCGCCUGGGGAGUACGGCCGCAAGGCUGAAACUCAAAGGAAUUGACGGGGCCCGCACAAGCAGCGGAGCAUGUGGUUUAAUUCGAAGCAACGCGAAGAACCUUACCAAGGCUUGACAUCCUCUGACGAACAUAGAGAUAUGUUUUCCUACGGGACAGAGAGACAGGUGGUGCAUGGUUGUCGU